UGAGACUCAAGAGGGCAAAGCAAAAGAUGUACGUCUUAAAGGGACUCAUUUCUUGGAAGAAGUUUAGACAGCUUACUUCUGGAAAGCACAGUUCUUCCACAUCCACCCUUUAUGUUUUGCUUUCUUUCCAUUCAUUCAUUCUCAUCAGAAAUCACCAAACUCAGUUAGGCAUUAUGGAAAGAAAGACAAGAACCCAACCGGGGUGGAAGACUUCAAGAGUGAUCAGAGAAGGCUGUAUGGAACAGCUUGUCUCUCUAGCACUGCUGGUUUUCAGUGGCCACAGUGGCCCUGACCCACUUUCCGAUGGGGAUGCUGUCGCCUAAGGAAGUCGGAGAGGGAUUGCAGCCAUCCAGUCGUAAGGCGGUGAAGGGCUAAAGCACAUUGAGAGCAACGGAAGGAAAAAGAAAGCAUUGAAUGAAGCAUGCCCGAUUCCUCCUAACCCAUCAGAGGGAAAGGGCUACAGGCCAAUCCACUCCAGAAAACAGCACAGCGUACAGAUCAUUUCCAUGACACCCUGUGAUGAGAUUGAAGAAAACAGAAACAAGACGUGCCAAACUGGGCAGCCUGCAGAGCCCCUCUCUGAUGCAAGACCGUGGAUGCUGUUUCCGGCUCGGUCCUGCCUGGACAGGAUUUGCUGGUGGCAAAUAAUUUCCUCUUCCUGAGCCCCGCACAAAACAUUUUAAGGAUCGAACUCCCGAUUCAACAGGUUUCUUGACAUCUAAUCACAGCCGCCUGGUUGUAUUGCUGACAGUCUAUUAACAUUCCAAAUCAGCUUAUUAGGUCUUUAUGUAUUUCUUCAGUGAAUAAAAACAAGAAUUCUAGCAGAAGUUUCUUUUUAAAUCAUAACCUGGAAACCAUCAAAGCAAUAAGGUACAAAAACCUAAAGGAUUCAUCAUCAAGUUGCUGUCAAAGGAAAAGAAAACAAAAAUUGUGGAGGUCGUUUGACAUAGCAACCACGGCUCCCCUAAUAAAAAAUAAAAUACCAUGCAUGCAGAUGCUGACCAAGACAAAGGAAAGAAAUAGUGUCUAUUAAAGAUUUUUCAGCUAAGUGGCCAUUUUCAUUUAACAAUCCUUAGCAUCAUGAUAAAA
rnacentral:lncRNA from 1 species